rnacentral:rRNA from 1 species
AACGAACGCUGGCGGCAGGCCUAACAUAUGCAAGUCGAGCGAGGACUUCGGUUCUAGCGGCGGACGGGUGAGUAACGCGUGGGAAUGUGCCCUUCUCUACGGAAUAGCUCUGGGAAACUGGGAGUAAUACCGGAUACGCCCUUUUGGGGAAAGAUUUAUCGGAGAAGGAUCAGCCCGCGUUGGAUUAGGUAGUUGGUGGGGUAAUGGCCUACCAAGCCGACGAUCCAUAGCUGGUUUGAGAGGAUGAUCAGCCACACUGGGACUGAGACACGGCCCAGACUCCCUCGGGAGGCAGCAGGGGGGAAACUUAGACAAUGGGGGGAAACCUGAUCUAGCCAUGCCGCGGGAGGGAUGAAGGGCUUAGGGGUUGAAAAGUCUUUUAGCUGGGAAGAUUAAUACGGGACCAGCAGAAGAAGGCCCCGCUAACCCCGUU